CAAUAGCGUAUAUUAAAGUUGUUGCAGUUAAAAAGCUCGUAGUUGGAUUUCUGGUUGAAGCGACCGGUCGGGCGUUGAUUCGUCUGCACUGGAGUCGGUUUUGGCCAUCCUCUAGGAAAGUGCGUCUGGUAUUAAGUUAUCGGGCGUAUGAUCCUGGUCUUUUACUGUGAAAAAAUUAGAGUGUUUAAAGCAGGCCUUCGCCUUGAAUACAUUAGCAUGGAAUAAUAAGAUAGGACUUUGGUCUAUUUUGUUGGUUUGCAGACCGAAGUAAUGAUUAAUAGGGAUAGUUGGGGGCACCUGUAUUGCGUUGUCAGAGGUGAAAUUCUUGGAUUUACGCAAGACAAACAGCUGCGAAAGCGUCUGCCAAGGAUGUUUUCAUUAA
rnacentral:rRNA from 1 species